rnacentral:rRNA from 1 species
GACGAACGCUGGCGGCGUGCCUAAUACAUGCAAGUCGAACGCAGUUGCGAACGGGUGAGUAACGCGUAGGUACCUGACUCAUAGAGGGGGAUAACUAUUGGAACCGAUAGCUAAUACCGCAUACUGUGAGAUGUACCUGCGUUGUAUUAGGUUUUUGGUGAGGUAACGGCUCACCAAGGCGACGAUACAUAGCCGACCUUAGCUGGUGGUCGGCCACACUGGGACGGAGACACGGCCCAGACUCCUACGGGAGGAAGCAGUAGGGAAUCGUCGGCAAUGGACGGAGGUCUGACCGAGCAACGCCGAGGGAGUGAAGAAGGUGUUCGGAUCGUAAAGCUCUGUUGCUAGAGAAGCGGUAACGAACCAGAAAGGGACGGCUAACUACGUGCCAGCAGCCGCGGUAAUAC